GGGGAUGACCUGGUUUCGACUGGAGUAGUCGGAGUUAUGUGCAUGUCGGACUGAGCAAUUCCGUUAUACGGCUCAAACGCAAUAACUGCAAACAAUACAGAUUACCGUCCAGCUUACGCAGUAGCGUAAGUUUCAACCCCGACUUCGUCGGAGGGCUGCCUCUCUAGUGAGUGUCAUCUUAACUAGAUUUUGAGGUAUAACAUCUGAUGACUAUGCACCGUAGAAGCUAUGCUACAGUGUGAGAAUUUUAGCUCGUCUUGAAAAGUUUUGGAUGUGGUACAAAACAAGAUUAAACAUAACAACAUCAUCUAAGCAUGUAGAGUCAUAGCACUAGCUAUUUUAGGACUGGGGUUCGAUUCCCCACGUCUCCACCA
rnacentral:tmRNA from 1 species